rnacentral:rRNA from 1 species
CCUACGGGAGGCAGCAGUGAGGAAUCUUCCGCAAUGGGCGAAAGCCUGACGGAGCAAUGCCGCGUGCAGGAUGACGGCCUUCGGGUUGUAAACUGCUUUUAUAUGGGAAGAUUAUGACGGUACCAUAUGAAUAAGGACCGGCUAACUACGUGCCAGCAGCCGCGGUAAUACGUAGGGUCCAAGCGUUAUCCGGAAUCACUGGGCGUAAAGCGUGCGUAGGCGGAUGUUUAAGUGUAAUGCGAAAUCCUGUGGCUCAACCAUAUGGACUGUAUUGCAUACUGGAUAUCUUGAGGAAUGCAGAGGCAAGUGGAAUUACCGGUGUAGCAGUGAAAUGCGUAGAGAUCGGUAGGAACACCAAUGGCGAAGGCAGCUUGCUGGGCAUUAUCUGACGCUAAGGCACGAAAGCGUGGGGAGCGAACAGGAUUAGAUACCCUGGUAGUCCACGCCGUAAACGAUGCAUAUUAUUAGUAUGGAGUAUCGACCCUCUGUGCUGAAAAGCUAACGCGAUAAAUAUGCCGCCUGGGGAGUACGGCCGCAAGGCUAAAACUCAAAGGAAUUGACGGGGCUCCGCACAAGCAGUGGAGGAUGUGGUUUAAUCCGAAGCUACGCGCAGAACCUUACCAAGGCUUGAAAUCCCUAUCGUACUCCUAGGAAACUAGGAGGUCAGUUCGGCUGGAUAGGUGACAGAUGCUGCAUGGCCGUCGUCAGCUCGUGUCGUGAGAUGUUGGGUUAAGUCCCGCAACGAGCGCAACCCUUGUCGUGUGUUGUAUUUUUCACGCGAGACCGCCCGGGCCAACCGGGAGGAAGGUGGGGAUGACGUCAGGUCGGCAUGGCUCUUACGCCUUGGGCCACACACGUCCUACAAUGGCUGGUACAACGGGUCGCGAAACCGCGAGGUGGAGCUAAUCCCAUCAAAACCAGUCUCAGUUCGGAUUGCAGGCUGAAACUCGCCUGCAUGAAGCUGGAAUCGCUAGUAACCGUAGGUCAGCAUACUACGGUGAAUACGUUCCCGGAGCUUGUACACACCGCCCGUCACACCACGAAAGUUGGGGGUGCCCGACGUGCCUACUUUGCUAGGCCCUAAGGCAAACCCAGUGAUUGGGGUGAAGUCGUAACAAGGUAUCCGUACCGGAAGGUGCGGAUG